rnacentral:rRNA from 1 species
CAACUUUCAGCAACGGAUCUCUUGGCUCUCGCAUCGAUGAAGAACGC